GAAUUUCAUUCAGGAGAUUAGAUUCUCUGACAAUCAUCCCAACUUAUUAAAUUUGUUCAUCUUUCUUUCAGGUGUGUCUUUCAUUGUAUAUUCUGCUGCUGGGUAAUUGGAAGGCUAACCAGGGAAUGCUGAAAGAUGUGCUUGACAGUUAAGAAUUCCUUCACCGAGGCUAAUGAGUUCGUGCCUCCAUCUGAGCUAUCCUUGUUCAACCUUGAUGACAUUGGAUCUUUAGUCCACUGUCCAUAUCUAUUUUUGGCUCGAGCGACUGAGGUGCGAAGAAAUCUCAGCCAUUGUGCAAUAUCCAAACACAAUGAUUGUGAAGAUGGUUGAGCUUUGAGUUUCCUGCUUCUGGCCGCAUGAUUGCCUGUACUUAGUGCUAUUGAUAUUGGUUUUCACCACAAAGUGUUUCUAGAAAUGGAGCAAAAAGGAGGUGUGCUUUGCUUAUGCAACGAUAUGAACUGGGGAGAUUAUUAGGCCAAGGAACCUUUGCGAAAGUCUACCAUGCUAGGAACAUCAUAACUGGCAUGAGUGUGGCCAUUAAGAUUACUGACAAGGACAAGAUUCUGAAAGUUGGGAUGAUUGAUCAGAUUAAGCGUGAAAUUUCAGUGAUGAGGCUAAUCAGGCAUCCACAUGUGGUUGAGCUUUAUGAGGUAAUGGCCAGCAAAACCAAGAUGGAUUACUCCACAGUACAUGUGGUACCCCUGCCUAUGUUGCUCCGGAUCGGAAGUGAUAAACAGAAGGGGUUAUGAUGGAGCCAAAGCUGAUAUAUGGUCAUGUGGGGUGAUCUUGUAUGUUCUAUUGGCAGGGGAGACUUCAAAUUUCCUAACUGGUUUGCACCAGAUGUACGCAGAUUGCUGUCGAAAAUCUUGGAUCCAAACCCAAAGACAAGGAUAUCAAUUGCCAAAAUCAUGGAAAGUUCUUGGUUCAAAAGGGGGUUAGAGAAGUCUACCAUUACUCGGAACUAAGACCAAGAACUGGCUCCUCUUGAUGCAUUAUUUGUGAAAAAAUUGUUUUAGAAUGUGAAAAAAUCUCAUCAGUCUAAACUUUAAAGUUAAGAUCAAGAGAAAUUUAUAAAUAUUUGAUUUCUCAA